AAUCCCUUAUCGAGGAUCAAUUGGAGGGCAAGUCUGGUGCCAGCAGCCGCGGUAAUUCCAGCUCCAAUAGCGUAUAUUAAAGUUGUUGCAGUUAAAAAGCUCGUAGUUGGAUUUGUGGCGUACGGUGGGUUCCGGGCACUUGUUGUCUGAGUAACUCGCUGUUGCCAUCCUUGGGUGGAACCUGUGUGGCAUUAGGUUGUCGUGCAGGGGAUGCCCAUCAUUUACUGUGAAAAAAUUAGAGUGUUCAAAGCAGGCUUAUGCCGUUGAAUAUAUUAGCAUGGAAUAAUAAGAUAGGACUUUUUUGCUAUUUUGUUGGUUUGCGCAAGAAGGUAAUGAUUAAUAGGGACAGUUGGGGGUAUUCGUAUUCCAUUGUCAGAGGUGAAAUUCUUGGAUUUUUGGAAGACGAACUACUGCGAAAGCAUUUACCAAGGAUGUUUCCAUUAAUCAAGAACGAAAGUUAGGGGAUCGAAGAUGAUUAGAUACCAUCGUAGUCUUAACCAUAAACUAUGCCGACAAGGGAUUGGUGGAGUCUCGUUAUGUCUCCAUCAGCACCUUAUGAGAAAUCACAAGUCUUUGGGUUCCGGGGGGAGUAUGGUCGCAAGGCUGAAACUUAAAGAAAUUGACGGAAGGGCACCACCAGGAGUGGAGCCUGCGGCUUAAUUUGACCCAACACGGGAAAGCUUACCAGGUCCAGACAUAGUGAGGAUUGACAGAUUGAGAGCUCUUUCUUGAUUCUAUGGGUGGUGGUGCAUUGCCGUUCUUAGUUGGUGGAGUGAUUUGUCUGGUUAAUUCCGUUAACGAACGAGACCACUGCCUGCUAAAUAGCCCAGUGAGUGAAUCUUCACUGACUGCUGGCUUCUUAGAGGGACGUGCAUUCUAUCAGAUGCAGGAGGAUAGUGGCUAUAACAGGUCUGUGAUGCCCUUAGAUGUCCUGGGCCGCACGCGCGCUACACUGAUGCAUUCAACGAGUUUUACCUUGGCCGAGAGGCCUGGGCAAUCUUUUAAACCUGCAUCGUGAUAGGGAUAGAUUAUUGCAAUUAUUAAUCUUGAACGAGGAAUUCCUAGUAAACGCAAAUCAUCAAUUUGCAUUGAUUACGUCCCUGCCCUUUGUACACACCGCCCGUCGCACCUACCGAUUGAAUGGUCCGGUGAAGCCUCGGGAUUGUGGCCAGUUCACUUUAUUGGGAGUUGGCUGCGAGAACUUGUCUAAACCUUAUCAUUUAGAGGAAGGUGAAGUC
rnacentral:rRNA from 1 species